rnacentral:rRNA from 1 species
CCUACGGGAGGCAGCAGUGAGGAAUAUUGGUCAAUGGACGAGAGUCUGAACCAGCCAAGUAGCGUGAAGGAUGACUGCCCUAUGGGUUGUAAACUUCUUUUAUAAAGGAAUAAAACGAGGCACGUGUGCCUUUUUGCAUGUACUUUAUGAAUAAGGAUCGGCUAACUCCGUGCCAGCAGCCGCGGUAAUACGGAGGAUCCGAGCGUUAUCCGGAUUUAUUGGGGUUAAAGGGAGCGUAGAUGGGUUGUUAAGUCAGUUGUGAAAGUUUGCGGCUCAACCGUAAAAUUGCAAUUGAUACUGGCAGUCUGGAGUACAGGUGAGGUAGGUGGAAUUCGUGGUGUAGCAGUGAAAUGCGUAGAUAUCACGAAGAACUCCGAUGGCGAAGGCAGCUUACUAGACUGCCACUGACAUUGAUGCUCGAAAGUGUGGGUAGCAAACAGGAUUAGAUACCCUAGUAGUC